rnacentral:sRNA from 1 species
UACCCACAAGUGGGAUGAGAGCCUGGACAUGGAGGUCUCAUGCAUCCUGGGCCAUCAGAAAAGGCUGUGAUGGUUUCUAAAAGAUCAGGAUCCUCAUGACCAGCCAAAGAGAAAAAGAAUUAGGAAGCAUAAAUCAAAGAAAAAAUUUAAAAAUCCCAAUAAUGUUCUUAUAGAACAAGCAGAAUUAGAGAAACAGCGGAGUCUGUUACAGGAGAAAUCUCAGCAACAGCACACAGAUGGCACCACAAUAAGCAAAAAUAAAAAAAGGAAACUGAAAAAGAAACAGC